GUCAAAACGACUCUCGGCAACGGAUAUCUCGGCUGUCGUAUUGAUGAAGAACGUAGCAAAAUGCAAUACUUGGUGUGAAUUGCAGAAUCCCGUGAACCAUCGAGUCUUUGAACACAAGUUGCACCCGAAGCCAUCCGGCCGAGGGCACGUCUGCCUGGGCAUCUCCCAUCGCUUCGC
rnacentral:rRNA from 1 species